AUGAUAUCACUGACAGUUUGCACUUCAACCGUUAGUCAUUGUAUAAUUUCAAAUCCAAAGUGCCGGAAUACAGAGGCAAAAAAUGGCCACUAUCCAAAAACGUUUGGUGCUCGCUACAGACCUUUUAAUCAAGAAUCAUUGCCACAUUGUGGAGAACAGGUCACAUUGUGGAGAACAUCAAGAAGCUUGAGGCUGAGAAGAUUUGGUUAAACACCCAUUGCAGUCCAAUCAGAACCAGAGAGAAGCCAAAGAUAAUGGCCUUUGCAUUGCCAGAGGAACAGGGCAGGAGCUUUACUCUCAAGGUAAACCAACUCAGCCUCUUUGCUGAAUAUCAGGAUCUGAUCUCAGAGCAACAGUCCCUGGUCUCUGAACCUCAAACCCUCCUAGCUCAUCGUCAGUCUAAAAUCCAAGAGUUUGAAGAAUACUAUUAAAUCAAACUCCAGACUCUGAACAACUCUAGGCAUUAUACAAUAAAGUAAUAAAAUCCAAGUGCAAGAGCCUCAGUUUUUGGCACCUAUGGCAGCAACCUAUUCGAUCAGAGCUUCAGGAGCUUCAUAAGCCACUGUAAAGUGUCAGCAGCAGAAACACUGCAGAGUUGUCUGAAAACCACCAGAACCCAGAGAAGGUGUUGCAACUGAUGCAUGUGCUGGAACAGUGGAACUGGUUUACAAGGACAUGUUGGAUACUGAGAGACUGUGCAAAAAAGUAGUAUUGCCCUACUAACGAAAAAAGCUUUGCCAGAUUAAUCUUUGCUCCAGGGUACUCUGUGACCGCUCAAACGUAGAGAAUAACAAGCCAAAAUGAUGUGACAACUCGCAAUAAUGUACCAAAGAUACUUGGCCAAAGUGACUAGAACUGUCUGACCCCAGUGAGCAACGGCAGGAAAGAAAUGUCAGGACGAAGGGCAAGUCUUUGUUCAAGUCAACUCCGGCUGGCUGUUGACACAGAUAAGAACGUUGUUGUUCAUUAUUGUUAUUAAGUAAUGGUGAAUAGCUUAGUUUACUUUGUAUGAAUGUUAUUUUCCUUAUACGCUUAGCUUAGUUACAUUAAUAAACUAUUUAUACAUUUGCUGCUGUUUGUCAGUGUCUGAGGAUGUUUAUAUUAGUCAUCAAUUUGAAGCACAACAUCCUUCUUUUCAUCAAGUGCAGUGUUUUAAUGGACCAGCAGGUUCCACCAUUGAGCUAUGUUUUGAUCGACCAGCUGUGAGACAGCAAACUUUUGGCCCAUUACAUAAAUAUCUGUUUCUCUUUUAAUAUACUGGCCAUAUGCAAACAAGGCACUAUUUUGGAAUUGACACAAUUUAAGGUUUAACAAUACAAGGUUAAAAUAAAAGGGAUUCUAACAUCCCAUAACUCUGUGCACAAUUAUUUUACCCCGUUUUUAAAUGACCAAGAGUGAAUACUAGCAGCACAGAAGGUUUGCCAUAAAAAAAAGUUAAUUUCAGCUAACUACUCAGUA
ensembl:lncRNA